GAUGAACGCUGACAGAAUGCUUAACACAUGCAAGUCUUUGGCGAAGCUGUGCUCGCACAGCCUAGCCAAGGCGGACGGGUGAGUAACGCGUAAGGAACUUGCCCUGCAGUCAGGGAUAACAGACGGAAACGACUGAUAAGACCUGGUAAAGUCAGGCGGACUCAUGUCCAGCCUGAUGAAAAGAGAUGCUGCAGGAGAGCCUUGCGUCCUAUUAGCUUGUUGGUGGGGUAACGGCCCACCAAGGCGAUGAUAGGUAGCCGGCCUGAGAGGGUGGACGGCCACAAGGGGACUGAGAUACGGCCCUUACUCCUACGGGAGGAAGCAGUGGGGAAUAUUGGACAAUGGGGGCAACCCUGAUCCAGCAAUUCUGUGUGCACGAUGAAGGUUUUCGGAGUGUAAAGUGCUUUCAGCAGGGAAGAAAAAAAUGACGGUACCUGCAGAAGAAGCGACGGCUAAAUACGUG
rnacentral:rRNA from 1 species